AUUAGAAAUCCCGGGAGGGGGGGUGAAAAUUCCCAAAAAAAAUUCGUGCAAAGGAAAAUGCCUGGAAAAAAAAUUCGUGCAGCCAUUACGUCAGAGAAAAAAAAAUCGUGCAAGCAAACAGCGAAGUACAAAUAGUCUUGAAAAAAAUUCGUGCAGAGGUUAAAUGCAUUAAAAAAAAUUCCUGCAGAGAGACGAGACUGAAAAAAAAAUUCGUGCCGCAAAAAUUUUAUACCCCCCCCCCCUCCCGGGAUUUCUAAUGGUCCGCCCCUUAGUUUAACGUUCUGCUGAGCAUGACAAAGCCGUUGAGAAUACCCCUGGGACCACAAAUUAUUCACAGUUUUUGUCUUGCAUGACAAAUUUCUUUCUUUCGCAAGCGCGUCGUUGAGCCGGCCGCGUCGUAGAUCUUAAACUCUCUAAUGUCGCUCCAACGUCG